UAUUGACCUCUAUGAGAAAAUGACCCUACUUCUCACUUGAUUAAUUACCUCAAUAAACAUUUUCAUAACGGGUUUAUGGCCUCA